GCCGGGGUGGCCGAGGGGUCUAAGGCGCCGGACUCAUAAUCCGGUUUUCCGGGGUUCGAGUCCCCGCCCCGGCA
rnacentral:tRNA from 1 species